rnacentral:rRNA from 1 species
AACGAACGCUGGCGGCAUGCCUAACACAUGCAAGUCGAACGAGAUCUUCGGGUCUAGUGGCGCACGGGUGCGUAACGCGUGGGAAUCUGCCCUUUGGUUCGGAAUAACAGUUGGAAACGACUGCUAAUACCGGAUGAUGACGAAAGUCCAAAGAUUUAUCGCCAGAGGAUGAGCCCGCAUAGGAUUAGGUAGUUGGUGUGGUAAAGGCGCAACAAGGCGACGAUCCUUAGCUGGUGUGAGAGGAUGAUCAGCCACACUGGGACUGAGACACGGCCCAGACUCCUACGGGAGGCAGCAGUGGGGAAUAUUGGACAAUGGGCGAAAGCCUGAUCCAGCAAUGCCGCGUGAGUGAUGAAGGCCUUAGGGUUGUAAAGCUCUUUUACCCGGGAUGAUAAUGACAGUACCGGGAGAAUAAGCUCCGGCUAACUCCGUGCCAGCCGCCGCCGUAA